rnacentral:rRNA from 1 species
UACGGGGGGGGCAAGCGUUGUUCGGAAUUACUGGGCGUAAAGGGCUCGUAGGUGGCCAACUAAGUCAUACGUGAAAUCCCUCGGCUUAACCGGGGAACUGCGUCUGAUACUGGAUGGCUUGAGUUUGGGAGAGGGAUGCGGAAUUCCAGGUGUAGCGGUGAAAUGCGUAGAUAUCUGGAGGAACACCGGUGGCGAAGGCGGCAUCCUGGACCAACACUGACGCUGAGUGAGCGAAAGCCAGGGGAGCAAACGGG